rnacentral:rRNA from 1 species
UACGGAGGGUGCAAGCGUUAUCCGGAUUCACUGGGUUUAAAGGGUGCGUAGGCGGCGUGGUAAGUCAGUGGUGAAAUCUCCAAGCUUAACUUGGAAACUGCCGUUGAUACUAUCAUUCUUGAAUAUCGUGGAGGUAAGCGGAAUAUGUCAUGUAGCGGUGAAAUGCUUAGAUAUGACAUAGAACACCGAUUGCGAAGGCAGCUUGCUACACGAUCAUUGACACUGAGGCACGAAAGCGUGGGGAUCAAACAGG